ensembl:rRNA 5S_rRNA 5S ribosomal RNA
GCCAGCAGCCAUGUCACCCUGCAACUUACAAUUGGCAACCCACUGAAGCUAAGCAGGUGUGAGCCUGGUCAGUACCUGGAUGGGAGACCUCCUGGGAAAAACUAAGGUUGCUGCUGGAU